rnacentral:rRNA from 1 species
CCUACGGGGGACAGCAGUGGGGAAUAUUGGGCAAUGGGCGAAAGCCUGACCCAGCAACGCCGCGUGAAGGAAGAAGGCUUUCGGGUUGUAAACUUCUUUUGACAGGGACGAAGCAAGUGCCGGUACUUGACGAAUAAGUGACGGCUAACUACGUGGCAGCAGCCGCGGUAAUACGGCGGGGGCAAGCGUGAUCCGGAUUUAUUGGGUGUAAAGGGCGUGUAGGCGGGGAGGCAAGUCAGAUGUGAAAGCCACGGGCUCAACCUGUUACUUGCAUUUGAAACUGGUAUUCUUGAGUGCUGGAGAGGCAAGCGGAAUUCGGGGUGUAGCGGUGAAAUGCGUAGAUAUACGGAGGAACACCAGUGGCGAAGGCAGAUUACUGGACAGUAACUGACGCUGAGGCGCGAAAGCGUGGGGAGCAAACAGGAUUAGAUACCCGAGUAGUC